rnacentral:rRNA from 1 species
GAUGAACGCUAGCGGCAGGCCUAACACAUGCAAGUCGAGGGGUAGAAGGAGCUUGCUCCUUUGAGACCGGCGCACGGGUGCGUAACGCGUAUGCAAUCUACCUUGUACAGGGGAAUAGCCCAGAGAAAUUUGGAUUAAUGCCCCAUAGUAUAUAACCUUCGCAUGUCGGUUAUAUUAAAGUUCCAACGGUACAAGAUGAGCAUGCGUCCCAUUAGUUAGUUGGUAAGGUAACGGCUUACCAAGACGAUGAUGGGUAGGGGUCCUGAGAGGGAGAUCCCCCACACUGGUACUGAGACACGGACCAGACUCCUACGGGAGGCAGCAGUGAGGAAUAUUGGUCAAUGGUCGCAAGACUGAACCAGCCAUGCCGCGUGCAGGAAGACGGUCCUAUGGAUUGUAAACUGCUUUUAUACAGGAAGAAACCCUCCCACGUGUGGGAGCUUGACGGUACUGUAGGAAUAAGGAUCGGCUAACUCCGUG